UGAACGCUGGCGGCGUGCCUAAUACAUGCAAGUCGAGCGAACGGACGAGAAGCUUGCUUCUCUGAUGUUAGCGGCGGACGGGUGAGUAACACGUAGAUAACCUACCUAUAAGACUGGGAUAACUUCGGGAAACCGGAGCUAAUACCGGAUAAUAUUUUGAACCGCAUGGUUCAAAAGUGAAAGACGGUCUUGCUGUCACUUAUAGAUGGAUCCGCGCUGCAUUAGCUAGUUGGUAAGGUAACGGCUUACCAAGGCAACGAUGCAUAGCCGACCUGAGAGGGUGAUCGGCCACACUGGAACUGAGACACGGUCCAGACUCCUACGGGAGGCAGCAGUAGGGAAUCUUCCGCAAUGGGCGAAAGCCUGACGGAGCAACGCCGCGUGAGUGAUGAAGGUCUUCGGAUCGUAAAACUCUGUUAUUAGGGAAGAACAUAUGUGUAAGUAACUGUGCACAUCUUGACGGUACCUAAUCAGAAAGCCACGGCUAACUACGUGCCAGCAGCCGCGGUAAUACGUAGGUGGCAAGCGUUAUCCGGAAUUAUUGGGCGUAAAGCGCGCGUAGGCGGUUUUUUAAGUCUGAUGUGAAAGCCCACGGCUCAACCGUGGAGGGUCAUUGGAAACUGGAAAACUUGAGUGCAGAAGAGGAAAGUGGAAUUCCAUGUGUAGCGGUGAAAUGCGCAGAGAUAUGGAGGAACACCAGUGGCGAAGGCGACUUUCUGGUCUGUAACUGACGCUGAUGUGCGAAAGCGUGGGGAUCAAACAGGAUUAGAUACCCUGGUAGUCCACGCCGUAAACGAUGAGUGCUAAGUGUUAGGGGGUUUCCGCCCCUUAGUGCUGCAGCUAACGCAUUAAGCACUCCGCCUGGGGAGUACGACCGCAAGGUUGAAACUCAAAGGAAUUGACGGGGACCCGCACAAGCGGUGGAGCAUGUGGUUUAAUUCGAAGCAACGCGAAGAACCUUACCAAAUCUUGACAUCCUUUGACAACUCUAGAGAUAGAGCCUUCCCCUUCGGGGGACAAAGUGACAGGUGGUGCAUGGUUGUCGUCAGCUCGUGUCGUGAGAUGUUGGGUUAAGUCCCGCAACGAGCGCAACCCUUAAGCUUAGUUGCCAUCAUUAAGUUGGGCACUCUAAGUUGACUGCCGGUGACAAACCGGAGGAAGGUGGGGAUGACGUCAAAUCAUCAUGCCCCUUAUGAUUUGGGCUACACACGUGCUACAAUGGACAAUACAAAGGGCAGCGAAACCGCGAGGUCAAGCAAAUCCCAUAAAGUUGUUCUCAGUUCGGAUUGUAGUCUGCAACUCGACUACAUGAAGCUGGAAUCGCUAGUAAUCGUAGAUCAGCAUGCUACGGUGAAUACGUUCCCGGGUCUUGUACACACCGCCCGUCACACCACGAGAGUUUGUAACACCCGAAGCCGGUGGAGUAACCUUUUAGGAGCUAGCCGUCGAAGGUGGGACAAAUGAUUGG
rnacentral:rRNA from 1 species